AGUGAACGCUGGCGGUAGGCCUAACACAUGCAAGUCGAACGGCAGCACAGUAAGAGCUUGCUCUUACGGGUGGCGAGUGGCGGACGGGUGAGGAAUACAUCGGAAUCUACUUUUUCGUGGGGGAUAACGUAGGGAAACUUACGCUAAUACCGCAUACGACCUACGGGUGAAAGCAGGGGAUCUUCGGACCUUGCGCGAUUGAAUGAGCCGAUGUCGGAUUAGCUAGUUGGCGGGGUAAAGGCCCACCAAGGCGACGAUCCGUAGCUGGUCUGAGAGGAUGAUCAGCCACACUGUAACUGAGACACGGUCCAGACUCCUACGGGAGGCAGCAGUGGGGAAUAUUAGACAAUGGGCGCAAGCCUGAUCCAGCCAUACCGCGUGGGUGAAGAAGGCCUUCGGGUUGUAAAGCCCUUUUGUUGGGAAAGAAAAGCAGCAGGUUAAUACCCCGCUGUUCUGACGGUACCCAAAGAAUAAGCACCGGCUAACUUCGUG
rnacentral:rRNA from 1 species